UCAAGUAGCCGUUAUUGCCAUACUAUUAUUAAUACAAAAUAUUUAUUGUGGAUACGAUUAUUCGUGCGACUAUAAAAUUGGUGACCCGUCUUGGGAUUACGCUCGAAUAUUUUACAACAAAACACACAUCGUCCCAGCUGGGAUCAAAUCGUAUACAAUUGAUUUAUCGAAAAACAGCCUUAUAAUAUGUUUCGUAUGUGUCAACAUAAGUGACAUCUCACCGAACAACGCUACAAUUUCUUUCGUGAGCUUAUUUAAGUCGAUUACGGUAGAUUUCAACAAUGUUAACGGUCGGGACGUCAAAGUUCAUGCAUUAGCUAUGCAUCAUGGAUACAGAAGGAAAGAAGAACCGGCAUGGACGGAUAAUACAGCGAUUUUUUCAAUACCCAAAGUAUUGGAAUGAAAAUAAAACCUUAAAAAAAUAAAAAAUUCAAUUGA